rnacentral:lncRNA from 1 species
GAGAGAAUUCCCUAAAAGGAGGAGAGAAUUCCCAAAACCAGAAUUCCCUGGGAGAGGAGAAAUCCCAAAAAGAGAAUUCCUUGAGAGGAGAGGAUUCCCAAAAAGAGAAUUCCCAGAGAAAAGAGUUCCCAAAACCAGAAUUUCCUUGAGAGAAGAAUUCCCAAAAAACCAAAAAUCCUGGGACAAAGCCGAGCUGGGGCCGGGCUCCUCUUGGACAAAGGGAAUUCCUUUGGCACCAGGAGAUUUUGGAUUUUGUGUUUGGAAAACACCUGCACUGCUUGGGAAUUUGGGGGGAUUUAUUUUUUGGUUUUUUUUCCAGGGUUUUUAAAAUUUUUUUUCCUUUUUUUUGGUUUUUUUUUUCCUUUUUUUUGUUUUUUUUCCUUUUUUUUUUGUUUUUUUUUCCAAUUUUUUGGGGGUUUUUUUCCAUUUUUUUGUUGUUGUUUUGUUUUUUGUUUGUUUUCCCUCAGAUUAAAGAACGAGCUCCAGACUGCAAAUCCUCGAGAGCUUUUUCUGGGGCCUCCCUGGUGUCUCUUCUAGACCAAAGAAUUAAAAAAAAUUUUUUAAAAAAGUUUAAAAAAAGGAAAUUUUCACUGCUGGAACUGGGGGCUCCUUCCCCAAAAAUUCACUUUGGAGAUUUCACGUGGGAACUGCAGGAAUUUGUGGAUUUAUUCAGAUUUAUUUGCAGGAAUUUGUGGAUUUAUUCAGAUUUAUUUGCAGGAAAUUUGGGAAAGGAGGGGGAGCACUCAAAGAUCUCAGUUUGGAUUUCUCCAAAUUUUGCUUUGGAUUGAUUUUUUUUUUUGGGAGAUUUUUGGGUUUUUUCUCCUGGAAUUCUCUGCUCCCCUCCUGGAAAAAAAAAAAAAAAGACAAAUUCCCAAAUUCCAGGUGGAUUCUUUUGCCAAAUUCUGAAUUUUUGGGGAUGCUCAGAGCAGGGACACCCCAAAAAAUUCAAAAAAAUUCAAAAUAAUUCUGGAUUUUCCAGGGAGGAUUCACUGCAGCACAGUUUGGGUGACUUUUCAACAUCAAUUUUAUUUUUUUUUUCAUUUUUAUUGACAAAACCCAGCACA